AUCCAGCUGACCAGCCCCAAAUAGGACGAAACACACGUUCUGGAU
rnacentral:hammerhead_ribozyme from 1 species